rnacentral:rRNA from 1 species
AUUGAACGCUGGCGGCAUGCCUUACACAUGCAAGUCGAACGCGAAAGCGGAGCAAUCCGCAAGUAGAGUGGCGAACGGGUGAGUAAUACAUAGGAACAUUUCCAGUAGCGGGGGAUAACCUGUCGAAAGAUAGGCUAAUACCGCAUACGCCCUACGGGGGAAAGCGGAGGACCGCAAGGCUUCGCACUAUUGGAGUGGCCGAUGUCGGAUUAGCUAGUUGGCGGGGUAAACGCCAACCAAGGCUACGAUCCGUAGCUGGUCUGAGAGGACGGUCAGCCAAACGGGAACUGAGGCACGGUCCAGACUCCUACGUGAGGCAGCAGUGGGGAAUUUUGGACAAUGGGCGCAAGCCUGAUCCAGCCAUUCCGCGUGAGUGAAGAAGGCCGUCGUGUUGUAAAGCUCUUUCGGUGGGGACGAAACGGUUCGUGCUAAUACCAUAAACUAAUGACGGUACCCGAAGAAGAAGCACCGGCUAACUACGUGCCAGCCGCCGCGGUAA